AGAGUUUGAUCCUGGCUCAGGAUGAACGCUAGCUACAGGCUUAACACAUGCAAGUCGAGGGGAAACGACAUCGAAAGCUUGCUUUUGAUGGGCGUCGACCGGCGCACGGGUGAGUAACGCGUAUCCAACCUGCCCACCACUUGGGGAUAACCUUGCGAAAGUAAGACUAAUACCCAAUGACGUCUCUAGAAGGCAUCUGAAAGAGAUUAAAGAUUUAUCGGUGAUGGAUGGGGAUGCGUCUGAUUAGCUUGUUGGCGGGGUAACGGCCACCAAGGCGACGAUCAGUAGGGGUUCUGAGGAGGAAGGUCCCCCANAUUGGAACUGAGACACGGUCCAAACUCCUACGGGAGGCA
rnacentral:rRNA from 1 species